UACGUAGGGUGCGAGCGUUUGUCCGGAAUUAUUGGGCGUAAAGAGCUCGUAGGCGGUGUGUCGCGUCGGCCGUGAAAACCUGCAGCUUAACUGUGGGCUUGCGGUCGAUACGGGCAUCACUGGAGUUCGGCAGGGGAGACUGGAAUUCCUGGUGUAGCGGUGAAAUGCGUAGAUAGUCAGGAGGAACACCGGUGGUGUAGACGGCUCUCUGGACCGUAACUGACGCUGAGACGCGAAAGCGUGGGGAGCAAACAGG
rnacentral:rRNA from 1 species